rnacentral:rRNA from 1 species
AACCCGGAGAACUGAAACAUCUAAGUACCCGGAGGAGAAGAAAACAAAAGUGAUUCCGUAAGUAGCGGCGAGCGAACGCGGAUUAGCCCAAACCAGUGUUGUUACGGCAAUACUGGGGUUGUAGGACCACGACAUUUGAUGCAUAAUGAACUAGAACAAGUUGGAAAGCUUGGCCAUAGACGGUGAUAGCCCGGUAUAGGUAAAGAUUGUUAUUGAUAGUGGUAUCCUGAGUAGUGCGGGGCACGUGAAACCCUGUAUGAAUCAGUCGGGACCAUCCGAUAAGGCUAAAUACUCCUGAGAGACCGAUAGUGAACUAGUACCGUGAGGGAAAGGUGA